GGCUCGGUGGUGUAGAGGUUUAACACCGUCCCUGCUAGGCCCGAGACGCGGGUUCGUAUCCCGCCUGAGGCG
rnacentral:tRNA from 1 species